UACGCAGGCGGAAAAUUAAGUCAGUGGUGAAAUCCUGCAGCUUAACUGUAGAACUGUCAUUGAUACUGGUUUUCUUGAAUAUAGUUGAGGUAGGCGGAAUGUGUAAUGUAGCGGUGAAAUGCUUAGAUAUUACACAGAACACCGAUUGCGAAGGCAGCUUACUAAGCUAUGAUUGACGCUGAGGCACGAAAGCGUGGGGAGCGAACAGGAUUAGAUACCCUGGUAGUCC
rnacentral:rRNA from 1 species